rnacentral:rRNA from 1 species
UUAGUACUGCGAGUGAAGCGGCAAAAGCUCAAAUUUGAAAUCUGGUACCAUUCGGUGCUCGAAUUGUAAUUUGGAGAGGCAACUUCGGAGAGGGCGUUGGCCUAAGUUCCUUGGAACAGGACGUCAUAGAGGGUGAGAAUCCCGUGCUUGGCUGACUGUCCCUCUUCAUGUGAAGUGUCUUCGACGAGUCGAGUUGUUUGGGAAUGCAGCUCAAAAUGGGUGGUAAACUCCAUCUAAGGCUAAAUAUUGGCGAGAGACCGAUAGCGCACAAGUAGAGUGAUCGAAAGAUGAAAAGCACUUUGAAAAGAGAGUUAAAAAGUACGUGAAAUUGUUGAAAGGGAAGCGCUUGAGACCAGACUCGGUGAUAGGUGAUCAGCGGUUGCUUUUGCUCCGUGCACUUGCCUUUUACCGGGCCAGCAUCAGUUACAGCGGUGGGAUAAAGACUCAGGGAAUGUGGCUCCCUUCGGGGAGUGUUAUAGCCCUGGGUGUAAUGCCACCUGUUGUGACUGAGGACCGCGCUUCGGCUAGGAUGCUGGCAUAAUGGUCUUCAGCGACCCGUCUUGA